rnacentral:rRNA from 1 species
GAUGAACGUUGGCGGCGUGCCUAAUACAUGCAAGUCGAACGAAGACUGUAGUAAUACUGUCUUAGUGGCGAACGGGUGAGUAACGCGUGGGUGACCUGCCCCGAAGUGUGGGAUAACAGUCCGAAAGGAUUGCUAAUACUGCAUAAUAUCCAAGAGAUUAGAUGCUUUUUGGAUUAAAGGAGUAAUUCGCUUCGGGAGGGGCCCGCGUCCCAUCAGCUAGUUGGUAAGGUAAUGGCUUACCAAGGCGAUGACGGGUAGGGGACCUGAGAGGGUGGCCCCCCACAAUGGAACUGAAACACGGUCCAUACACCUACGGGUGGCAGCAGUAGGGAAUAUUAGUAAUGGGGGCAACCCUGACCCAGCGACGCCGCGUGAGGGACGAAGUCCUUCGGGAUGUAAACCUCUGUUGUGGGGAAGAAGCGAGUGACGGUACCUCGACGAGGAAGCCCGGACAAACUACGUAG